UCAGACUCAUGUUCUUUAUUGAGAAACAAGCUUUUGAAAGCCAUAUGCGAUCUGUCUGCCCUGAAGUGACUACUUCAUCUCCAACCAGCCCUUGGCUGGCAAAGUCAGGAAGACUCCAGUCUUUCCUGAAGACCAGGGGAGAGUUUAUAACUCUAGCAUCAAAGUCAGCAGCUGUUCAUCUAGAAGACAACUUCCCAAAAGUCAAUGUCUUUGCCUGAAGCUUUUCUUCCCAGAUCUCCUAUGGUGAAACAACCAAAGGGAAGAAGAAUGUGGGCAGCCCUCAGUAAGACAGGAGAUGAGCAUCAACAUUGACCCAUUCUUUCUUCCAGUCCUCGAUGCUUACCUUGUACAUUCUUCUUUGUCUUCCGACUCAGUGCCUUUAGGGUAUGGACGUUGCCUGGUCCCACACAAGCCAAGCAUCAAAUGGAUGGCUCAACAAGGAGGCCAAGACCAGCUAAUGUUUAGUGAGCACCCAAAGGGGCCACACUGGAGAGAACAGCACAGCUCCGUCUGAGAAACAGCUGUUCCUUCCUGCCUGAGAGGCAGAGUGAUAGAAGAUAUCACAGAAUGUUGCUGCUUUGUCUUCCACCCUGAACCCUCCACGACCUCCCUGUAGCUUCCUGAUUUUAAGUAGACAUCAAAUGAUUCUUAAUCCUUUCUGGGUCUUGGAACGAUUUGAAAAUUGUCAACAGUACUGGGAUUCCCAGAAUAAUGCACAUAUGUACAUACUCAGAUAUUCCCCAAGCCCUGGAUAUAAUUUUAAGGGAGUUCACAGACCACACUCCCCCACCCAUCUGUGGACCCAGAUUCUGUGGGUUCGAGAUUCAGAAGCCCUGUUUCUAGGCAGGCCCUCUGUUGCUAACGCCCCUCGAGAACAUCACCCUAGAUGAUUAUCCCUUCUUCCUCCACUCCUUCCCACCUUCUCCAACUGCUGGGUUUCAGCACAAAGAUUGCUUGCCAGUUAAACUGGCACCAUGGACCGCACAGUAGUUGUUUCUUGGGUCUAGAGGAAACAGCCAGAUUCCUUUAAGUAAAUCAUGUCUUAGUUAUUGAUUGUCUCCACUUGAAGUUUUUGACAAUCUCUGAUUAAAU
rnacentral:lncRNA from 1 species